GUAAUGAAGAUAAUGGUGACCUCCUUCAGAAGUUCCCAUGCACGCACUGCUGCAUUCAGUGCCUCCAACCCUGAAGCAGGCCACUGCUGAUCCACAUCUCUGCUGGAGACUCCUGGACACUCACAGGCAUGUCUGGGGAAAAGCUGUGGAAAGCAUAAAAGUAGACUCGAGUUCCAGAGAAGCAGGGUUGAAUCUCAGCUAAGCCUUGAGGGAGCUAUGUGACCUUGAGAAAGUCACCUGACAUUUCUGAGCCUCUGUGAAAGAGAGAGUCAUCCCCGGGCCAGGCAUGUCUGAUCUUAGCUCCCUGAGGAGGGAUAGAACCAGCAUUCCCUGCACUGAAAGGUGAAGUCUUAACCACUGGACCACCAGGGAAGUUGGAACUGUGGUGUUGGAGAAGACUCUUGAGAGUCCCUUGGACUGCAAGGAGAUCCAACCAGUCCAUUCUGAAGGAGAUCAGCCCUGGAUUUCUUUGGAAGGAAUGAUGCUAAAGCUGAAACUGCAGUACUUUGGCCACCUCAUGCCAAGAGUUGAGUCAUUGGAAAAGACUCUGAUGCUGAGAGGGAUUGGGGGCAAGAGAAGAAGGGGGCAACAGAGGAUGAGAUGGCUGGAUGGCAUCACUGACUCGAUGGAGGUGAGUCUCAG
ensembl:lncRNA